AGGGGAUUUCUGUCUUGGAGCUGUCAGUGCUGUACCAUGCUGGUAGCCAGUGUAAUGAAAGUUGCUCCUGGCAACCAGUGUUGUGCCACCCUGGCUGCUCAGUGUGUAUGCCUCUUGGU
rnacentral:precursor_RNA from 14 species